rnacentral:rRNA from 1 species
CAGUAGCCGCGGUAAUACGUAGGGUGCAAGCGUUAAUCGGAAUUACUGGGCGUAAAGCGUGCGCAGGCGGUUCUAUAAGACAGAUGUGAAAUCCCCGGGCUCAACCUGGGAACUGCAUUUGUGACUGUAGAGCUGGAGUGCGGCAGAGGGGGAUGGAAUUCCGCGUGUAGCAGUGUAAUGCGUAGAUAUGCGGAGGAACACCGAUGGCGAAGGCAAUCCCCUGGGCCUGCACUGACGCUCAUGCACGAAAGCGUGGGGAGCAAACAGGAUUAGAUACCCCCGUAGUCCCUGUCUCUUAUAC